rnacentral:tRNA from 1 species
UGGGUGUUGCUCAGUGGUAGAGCACUUGCCUAGCAUGCAUAAGGCCCUGGGUUUGAUCCCCAGCACCACAA